rnacentral:lncRNA from 1 species
UAAAAACAGUCCAGCCUGAUCCUGAUUCUGCACACCCAAGUCACAAGUCCAGGCAGAAGACUUCCAAAUCAAGGGAUGGCCGCAGACUUCUCCAACAGAUAAGCUGCGCAGACACGGCUUCUGCUACUUAACGUCCUCUCGGUAGCUCUCCACUGUGAUUUGCAAGGCUCGUAUUAGCCUGUCAGAAGGGAAGGAUUAACACGUAUUUUGAUUUCUGUUGAAAACACGUUGUUUCAGAAAUAAAGUUGGCAUGGCAGGCAUCUUGGUUGAUUUAAUCUCUGACACAGGAAGUUUAUUUAUAGCAUCACAGCCUUCUGAAUGUUUAAAAACUCAAGCAUUAUAAGCCUGCUGUGCUUUUCCUGCGAAGUAUGGAACGGCACUAAAUGAAUAAUGCCACCAGGGCCAGCAGCAGAGCCAGGAUCCAGAAUCAAACACGGCUUUCAUCUGCUCCUGGCUUUAAAAGAGGUAUCACUGUCUCCUGAUCGGAUCAGCAUUUUGGUAGAGUCACAACCAAAACGGGAGUCCAUCUUCACAGAGACAGACACAGACUUCCUGAGAGUCCCUUCCCAUUGGUUUAAAGAUGCCAAGUCUUCCAUCUCUGCAAGGCCAGGUGCAUUACACCCGAUGGAGGCAUCCACUCGAGACCCUGCGUAUCACAGUCUGAA